AGGGAAAGGCGAAAAGAACCCCGGCGAGGGGAGUGAAAAAGAACCUGAAACCGUGUACGUACAAGCAGUGGGAGCACGCUUAGGCGUGUGACUGCGUACCUUUUGUAUAAUGGGUCAGCGACUUAUAUUCUGUAGCAAGGUUAACCGAAUAGGGGAGCCGAAGGGAAACCGAGUCUUAACUGGGCGUUAAGUUGCAGGGUAUAGACCCGAAACCCGGUGAUCUAGCCAUGGGCAGGUUGAAGGUUGGGUAACACUAACUGGAGGACCGAACCGACUAAUGUUGAAAAAUUAGCGGAUGACUUGUGGCUGGGGGUGAAAGGCCAAUCAAACCGGGAGAUAGCUGGUUCUCCCCGAAAGCUAUUUAGGUAGCGCCUCGUGAAUUCAUCUCCGGGGGUAGAGCACUGUUUCGGCAAGGGGGUCAUCCCGACUUACCAACCCGAUGCAAACUGCGAAUACCGGAGAAUGUUAUCACGGGAGACACACGGCGGGUGCUAACGUCCGUCGUGAAGAGGGAAACAACCCAGACCGCCAGCUAAGGUCCCAAAGUCAUGGUUAAGUGGGAAACGAUGUGGGAAGGCCCAGACAGCCAGGAUGUUGGCUUAGAAGCAGCCAUCAUUUAAAGAAAGCGUAAUAGCUCACUGGUCGAGUCGGCCUGCGCGGAAGAUGUAACGGGGCUAAACCAUGCACCGAAGCUGCGGCAGCGACGCUGAUGCGUUGUUGGGUAGGGGAGCGUUCUGUAAGCCUGCGAAGGUGUGCUGUGAGGCAUGCUGGAGGUAUCAGAAGUGCGAAUGCUGACAUAAGUAACGAUAAAGCGGGUGAAAAGCCCGCUCGCCGGAAGACCAAGGGUUCCUGUCCAACGUUAAUCGGGGCAGGGUGAGUCGACCCCUAAGGCGAGGCCGAAAGGCGUAGUCGAUGGGAAACAGGUUAAUAUUCCUGUACUUGGUGUUACUGCGAAGGGGGGACGGAGAAGGCUAUGUUGGCCGGGCGACGGUUGUCCCGGUUUAAGCGUGUAGGCUGGUUUUCCAGGCAAAUCCGGAAAAUCAAGGCUGAGGCGUGAUGACGAGGCACUGCGGUGCUGAAGCAACAAAUGCCCUGCUUCCAGGAAAAGCCUCUAAGCAUCAGGUAACAUCAAAUCGUACCCCAAACCGACACAGGUGGUCAGGUAGAGAAUACCAAGGCGCUUGAGAGAACUCGGGUGAAGGAACUAGGCAAAAUGGUGCCGUAACUUCGGGAGAAGGCACGCUGAUAUGUAGGUGAAGUCCCUCGCGGAUGGAGCUGAAAUCAGUCGAAGAUACCAGCUGGCUGCAACUGUUUAUUAAAAACACAGCACUGUGCAAACACGAAAGUGGACGUAUACGGUGUGACGCCUGCCCGGUGCCGGAAGGUUAAUUGAUGGGGUUAGCGCAAGCGAAGCUCUUGAUCGAAGCCCCGGUAAACGGCGGCCGUAACUAUAACGGUCCUAAGGUAGCGAAAUUCCUUGUCGGGUAAGUUCCGACCUGCACGAAUGGCGUAAUGAUGGCUAGGCUGUCUCCACCCGAGACUCAGUGAAAUUGAACUCGCUGUGAAGAUGCAGUGUACCCGCGGCAAGACGGAAAGACCCCGUGAACCUUUACUAUAGCUUGACACUGAACAUUGAGCCUUGAUGUGUAGGAUAGGUGGGAGGCUU
rnacentral:rRNA from 1 species